rnacentral:rRNA from 1 species
AUUGAACGCUGGCGGCAGGCCUAACACAUGCAAGUCGAGCGGAUGAUGGGAGCUUGCUCCUGGAUUCAGCGGCGGACGGGUGAGUAAUGCUUAGGAAUCUGCCUAUUAGUGGGGGACAACAUUCCGAAAGGGAUGCUAAUACCGCAUACGCCCUACGGGGGAAAGCAGGGGAUCUUCGGACCUUGCGCUAAUAGAUGAGCCUAAGUCGGAUUAGCUAGUUGGUGGGGUAAAGGCCUACCAAGGCGACGAUCUGUAGCGGGUCUGAGAGGAUGAUCCGCCACACUGGGACUGAGACACGGCCCAGACUCCUACGGGAGGCAGCAGUGGGGAAUAUUGGACAAUGGGCGGAAGCCUGAUCCAGCCAUGCCGCGUGUGUGAAGAAGGCCUUUUGGUUGUAAAGCACUUUAAGCGAGGAGGAGGCUCUUAAGGUUAAUACCCUUGAUGAGUGGACGUUACUCGCAGAAUAAGCACCGGCUAACUCUGUGCCAGCAGCCGCCGCCGUAAC